AAAAAGUUUCUUAUUGAUAAUUAUUGAUCAAUAACAUAUUUAUAUAUAAAAUAACUCUCCCAAUGAGAAUUGUUGAUGAUUGAUGGAAAGAAAUUAACCCCACCUCAAAUAUAAAGGCUUGCUUUUGCUAUUUUCGUAUAACCUCAACCCUUUUAUUUAGAUUUUGCUCAAAGUGUAUGACUUAAAUUAUUAUUAUUGGAUAUGAUCACUUUAUUCAGCAGAUGAAAAAUAAAGUACAAUUAUGAAAGGGCUUGAGAGUGGAGUUACUUUUUUAUGGGAAGCCCAUAUCGCAAAACAAUAUUAAUUAUUUAUGGAAAUAGCUACCAUCGGAAAGAGGAUUAUAAAGGUAAACACGGUAUUAAUCAACAGAAUCAAGACAAUACCAAUGAAAGAAUCCCCCAUGAAGUAAUACAUAUUGAAUCUUUAUCGUUGGACAGUGAGAAGGACAAGCACAUGAGAAAAUGUGAAUUGAUUGAAAGCGAACAGAGUUCAUCUCCACCAUGAAAGAAGAUUAGAGUUGUUUGGACAUAUCCCGUUCAUGAAAAAUUUGUGAAAGUCGUUUCAAAACAUUGCAUGAAGAAAGCGUAUUCAAGGAAAAUUCUUGACCUCAUGGAUACUCCUUAUAUGACUAGAACACAUGUUGCAAGUCAUUUGCAGCAUAUAUUCACUCAAAAGAGUUUGAAUUUGAGACAGCGGAGAUGGAUGGAGUUGAUGUGAUCAUUCAUUACAAUCCGAGCAAGGCUAAUAUUGUGGCAGACGUUUUGAGUAGAAAAGAGGUAUGUAUGGGUAAUUUAUCUUACUUAAGUGUAGCAAAGUGACCCUUGGUCAAGGAAAUAUAGGAUUUUGAAUCUAAGUUCAUCCAUUUGGGCACCUCCGAAAGACGUGGGGUGUUAGCUAGUACUAAAGCCAAGCACAUGUUCAUGGAGGAUAUCAACGCCAAAUGAUUCAAAGAUGGGAAUUUAUGAGAACUUAGAACAAAGAUUGCAAUGGGUAAGUCCCAAGAGACUACUCUUGAGGCGAAUGGGGUACUCAAAAAUAAGGGUAGGAUUUGUAUUCCUCGAGUAGAUGACUUGAUAUAAAAAUUAUUGGUGAAAUCUCAUGGUUUGUAGUAUUCCAUUCAUCCGGGUGUGACCAAGAUUUAUAGGAUCUGAAGCAAAUUUAUUGGUGGUCGGAAAUGAAGAAAUGCAUCACAGAGUUUGUGGUGAACUACCAGAAUUGUCAACAAGUGAAUUAUGAACAUCGAACGUGUAGAGAAAUAUGGUAGCGAUCGGGUGAAGUAAAUAUGAAUUUGAUUACAUAAUCGGUUAGAUAACUCUUUAAGAAAUCUUUACGACUUUAAGAAAUUGAAUUUGUAUAAGUAGAUCUCCAGGAAUCGAUCUUGGCGUUAAGGGCAUUUUUCUGAGUGUAUGGGGUUAAGGUUAUGCUGUAAAAGAUGGGAAUUGAAAUUCCACUAGGUAUCUCACAUCCCCAAAAUCUGCAGUUAUAGCGUACGAAUCGAGAUUUAAAAUCGUAGAUAUUUGGGAUUUUUCAAUGAACCUCACAUGUCCAAAAGGUGCCGCUGCAGUGGGAAUAGUGUUGCUGCAACGACGCUGCUACAACAGAAUGGGUCGUUGUAGCAGGACAGUCCUGAAUAAAUUUGUAAAUAAAGCCCCUAAACAGCCUUAUAUAGCAGUUUUCGACUCUAUAAAAUAACCCCUGGGUUAUUCCAACUCGUUUUUGACUAUUCUUGAAGCUAAAGGUAAUCUUUUCAUUCCUAAAAUUCACUUUCCAAUCUGUAGAACAUAAUCAAAUGGGUCAACAUUGAUGGCGAAAGGUUUCUUAAUAGAUUUUAUGGUGUAUUAACCCUAAUUUGGAUAGCAGGGAUCAUGAGUUUGAUCUAGGGUUCCUAGAAUUUAAGUAUCAUGGUAAUUAGCGAUUGAUUGUUGAUUCUAGUGUUAUUGUGAUUGUUUGUAGAUCAAGAACAAGCAGAACGAAUCUGGAAGGUGAAUGAUCAAGUUUUAUAGGGUUUCAAACAUGUUUCAAGGUAGUUAUUGUGAUUUCAUGAUAGUGUGAUGCAUGCAUGAUGUUUCUUGAUUAUGAUACUUGUAUGUAUAUGAAUGUCACAAUAUUGAUCGUGUUAUGGUAACUGAGAUAGAUGAAUAAUAUAACCAUGAAAUCAUGAUGUAAAUGUGUGAUACUUAUGAUGUACUUGUGAUUGUGAUUGGGUGUGUGAAUGGGGAUAGGAUUGUCACAUUUCGACAAGCUAACUUGGAUUGAAUUGUCAUGUUCCAGUAUAAAUGUUGGAUCGGAUUGCCACGUUAUGACAAGAUAACUGGGAUCCGGUACCACUCCAGGGCACUAACAGUUUGAGUUUGGGUUCUGUUACAACACAAAUGAUGUGUUAAGCAUGUGAAAUAUGUCGUCAACUUAUCAUGUUGAUAAUGUUUUUUAUGUUGAUAUAUAUGCAUCUGAUUAUAAUGUUUGUUCGAAUUUUUUAUAUUGCACUACUGGGAUAGCUGCGUGAUCCUACAAGUACAUGGUGUUUGUGUACAAAUUCUGCACUUCCUCUCAUUUUUGUUGAGUACAUGGCAUCUUCAAGAAUCUACUGACAGGCCUCACUUAGGAUAUUAGAUAUUAUUGCAUCGACUUCAAGGGUGAGCUGCAUCAUCCGGGCUUCCAUGGAGUUCUGUUUCGUCCAUGUCCACCAUUUCUAGACUUGGACCUUUAUGUUUAGUUAGUUGAAUAGUUCAUUAUCAAUUCCUAGUUUAGACUUGGUUAUCAUUAGUAUUUUUAUUAUAUUGACAUUCAGAUCUUAGGUUUAUAUUCAACAAAUUUUAGUUGUUAGAUCUUUUGUUUAGUAAUGAACUUCGCUUUUUGUCA